UCCUGUCACUGCAGAUACUGAUGAGGGCCGUGGAGACAGCGGAGGGUGCAUGGCUUCUGAGAAGGAGAUGUUGAACUGUGAUGUAUCUGCCAAACCCUGGGCAGCCCUCAGGGGAGAACUGGUCUGUAGGUCUGAGGAACUGCAAGGAAGCCAACGAGGCAAACGUUGCACGAGUCCAGAGAGGCCGGCUGGGAAUGAGUUCAAUGAGGAGCCAGGGACGCAUCAUGUAAGGUUUUCAAGGCCACAGUAAGGAGCACAAGUGACUAGGCAGCCACUGGAGGGUUCUGUGCAGGAGUCAGUGACCCUCCCUAUAACGCCCUGAAAGAUCCAUGGUUACCAUGGUUACCGUGGCACGGCAUCCUACUCGAUUACAUCACAGGGUACUUCUCUGACAGUAAGAGAGACAGCUGCGUUAGACCAGGAAGUGACCCUAACCCUGUCCGUGUCCACAGCAGGUUAUGUUCUGCAAGAAACGGGGCAGGAAUGGUGGCUCUGGAUUAGUGUUCUUCAAACCACGUGAUACCCAAGGACGCCCAGCCCCAGAACCCACGGGAAGGUGAUUAACCAUGCAGAGUCGCAGGCCCUGCUGCAGAUCUUGGCAAUGAGUUGGGCCCUAGAUCUUCCUGCUUCCUAAGGGAGCCUUGCAGGAGGUGCUCUGGCCGCGGUGAAGACUACACAGCUAGUAGCAGAGUCCCGGGGUCUGAAGCCAGAGAUAGGGCUCUGGGUGAAGGGCCCUCUGCCCACACCUGGGCAAGUCUUACCUGCUCCAAACAGGUCUUCAGGCAACUGGGAGUCUUUUAAUUGCCUUCUUCCUACCUGGCCCCUCCCUCAAGUUCAAACCCGCACUGUAAACACCAUCCCCAAGACUGAAGGCUCCACAGCCUGUGAGGAGUGCAGAAGAUAAGGAACCAACUUGGAAGUCAAGAGAGGCCAACAACUGCACAGCCGGAGUAGAGUGAUGUUAUCUGCAGACCAAGAGGCUAACUGGGAGAGUGUUCCUGCCUAGCAAGUGAAAGGGGUCAGACAGAUGAUCCCAGGCCGUCCACAGCAUUCCAUAAAUUCAAAGUAGGCUGCAUAAAACAGCAAGAAGAAAGCUCCCCGAGAAGGGGUGUGGGGCCCCCAUCCAGCCCGCCCUGCCUGGCACGGCACAGCUUAUCUGCCAGGCGAUUCUGACUUUCUCAGUGAGGUGGAGGUCUGCUCAAAUCACACUGGAGUCCUCCCCCUCCAAGUGGGCCUAUAACAGGUGCGACGUCCACAGCCUCAAGUGUGAUGGAAGUCAUCCCGGCCGUGUCAUCACAGUCGUCAUCCUGACCCCCAGCGCCCACCUCAGUUCGUCAUUUCCUGCAAAUCGCUGGUUUCUGAAAAGUUCUCCUUUAGGACGCUGGCAAAAAGGAUUGCAAAGUCCUCCCCCGCUCCAAGACUGCUAACUACUGAUUCCUCGCCCACGUGUGUUUGUGCGAGACUGUCUGUCACUAGCUGGCUUGCUUGCUUGCUUCCAACACCACUUGCUGAAUGCCCACUCAUGGCCAGAUACGAGCUGCAUGGCUUCCUGGCAUCCCUGAUCCAGCGGAGGAUAAAAGUGAAUCUACAGGAAACUUGUUAUGUAGCAGAGAUGCUUGGAAAGCUUUCACUGGCUUGCAAAAUAAAUGCU